rnacentral:lncRNA from 10 species
AUGGAGUCUUGUUCUGUUACCCAGGCUGGAAUGCAGUGGCACAAUCUCGGCUCAUGCAACCUCCAACUCCCAGGUUCAGGUGAUUCUCCUGCCUCAGCCUCCUGAGUAGCUGGGACUAGAGAUGACGUCUCGCUCUGUCGCCGAAGAUGGAGUACAAUGGUGUGAUCUCAGCUCACUACAACCUCUGCUUCCCAGGUUCAAGCAAUUCUUCUGCCUCAGUCUCCUGAGUAGCUGGGAUUACAAAUAUAGGACAGACUGAAGGAAUGUAUCCAGCUUAAUUUGAGUUAACAUUUUUUGAAAUUUUAUAUUGCAAAAAUAGUAAAUAUUCACUCUUUUGAAACUAGAAAGAAUUGAUAGGCAAAGAGGGUUGUCUACAAAGCACUCCAUAGAUCCACCAUACUGAGACAAUGCUUAACGCUUUGAUGGAUUUAUUGUAUACUUUCUAUGCAUAUAAGUGUAUUAUAUACAUACAUGUGCAUGCUUAAAUAGAAAGAUUUCUCCUUGGUGUUCUGUUUAUCCAUUUAUUGUUUUGAAGUAAAUCCCCAAAGAGCACAUUUGCUUUGCCCAAGGGAGUCUUUUGCUACAUCCUGCUGUACAUAAUGAAAACUAAAAAGGGGGCUAACAUUUCAGCCUUGUGACCUUGUGGUGAUUCAAAUAGAGGUUUCAUCAAAGGCAGAUUCAGAAAUGAACUCAGUGUGUUUAGGUGGUUUUGCUUGUCAUUAUUUUUACUAAUAAUAUGAUAGUGAUGACUUCAGUGUCCACCAACAGGGAGCUGGUUAAGUAAACCGUGGAACUUCCUAACGAUGAAUACUGUGCAGUUGUAAAGAAGAAUGAGAAAGACCUCUGUACUCAUGUAGAAAAACUCACAUAUAUAGUGUGGGUGUUAUAAAAGGAACAAGGAAUGGCAUCGUAUGAAUGGCUGGAGUGCAGUGCCAUAAUCAUAGCUACUGCAGCCUUGAACUCCUGGACUGGAACUUUUUGGUUCUGCAUCUUCGCAGUUAAAAGAAUAUUGGAAGAGGAAGAGCCCUGGCGUUCCAGCAGGAGCUAACAGGAAAAAGAAAAUCAAUGGCAGUAGCCCUGACACAGCCCCUUCUGGUGGUUACCACCCACCUGCGGAUUCAGCAACAGGUGUCUACGGGGAGGGCCCUAUGUCAUCUUCCACCCUGAAAGAUCUAGAGGUAAGAGGCCCUGGGCCGAGGUUCAGUGACCCUGCAACCUCCUCCCACAGCAGGGGCUGGUUGCCCCUCUGCCAGCUGAGACAGCCCACACACACCCCUCCCCAGCCCUAAUGAGUGUUCUCUCUACCCCUCCCCACAAUCCUCCUCCAACUCCUCCUCUCUGCGUGCACCUCAGAGCCAGUACCAAGAACUAGCAGGAG